CUCGUCCUCGUCUAUGUCCGGCAUACCAUAACUGCGACCCAUCGCCUCCUGCACCUCGUCCGCUUGUUCCAGCAUGUCGGCCAGGUCGUCUUGCAUGUCCUACACCGUUUCCGGACGGAUGCCCGGACGAAUAUAGUGGAUGAACGAGAAAAGACAACGCGAGACCAAAGACCCUCGUUUUGUGCUCAAACGCGGCAGCACCAAUCAGAAUCGCAGACUAAGAAGUCAUUGUUUCGACUGCCGCCUACGCUAGCUGCUAACUUGGCGAACUAAAAUCCAAUAUGGCUGCCCACCCGCAUACGCGUUUGGUGGACUGUGGUAGACCAUAUACCGAAGCAAUGCCAUUCCCGCUAUUCUAAGCGAAGCCAAGCUUUUGUUUUAGAUUCUUGUAAAUUGAUUCGUCCUAUCAUCGACAACAUAGCAGUAAAAGAAAAGUGCCCGAAAUCUUGCCUAUAGAGUCGAGAUCCUCUGUACACUGAAUUCUUGUCUUUUCUGUACACGCACUGUACACAUGCCGUGUCUAGUAGUAUAUGGUCUAAGAGUUAACCGACGCAUCGAAGCGACAUCUGUUACCCAGUAUGUAUAUACUUUGUGAUACAUAUACGACGACGAUCAAUCAUUGAAACGAUUAAAAUGCGUUCACGAAGGGAAAGAAUAAAUGUUCGUACUUUUUCGUUUAAAUAAAA